rnacentral:rRNA from 1 species
UACGUAGGGUGCAGGCGUUAAUCGGAAUUACUGGGCGUAAAGCGUGCGCAGGCGGUUUCUUAAGUCAGAUGUGAAAGCCCCGGGCUUAACCUGGGAACUGCGUUUGAAACUGGGAGACUUGAGUGUGGCAGAGGGGGGUGGAAUUCCACGUGUAGCAGUGAAAUGCGUAGAUAUGUGGAGGAACACUGAUGGCGAAGGCAGCCCCCUGGGUUAACACUGACGCUCAUGCACGAAAGCGUGGGGAGCAAACAGG